UUCUCUGCAGGUCCUGCAUGUUCAUUUUAUCAAGCAGUCCAGCUUUGAAGAUUCUGGGUUCUUGCUAACAGGCAACAGAGAAUGGAGCAACCUUCUAGGGCAUCUACUGAAAAGCAACCUGUUUGAUUUAAGACAGCACAUCUGAGUGAAUCAACUCCUGCCAUAUGUUAAACUGGUUCAACUUUGAUGUCAACAUGGCUGAAUCCAGAAUCAACAAGCAGGCUGAGGCUAUGAGAGAGGACCGAGGUCCUCAUUUACGACCUGUGAACAAGACAACCUGUCUACAUGCUAAUCAUGGACUUCUUGCCAUCCAACUGUAAGUCAAUAAAUUUCUAUGGUGUAAAUCAUCCAUCUUGCCUUCUUUCUUUCUUUUUCUUGCUUUUUUUAGCCACACUAAGAGUUGAUUUGUUUUAUGUUGAAUUAUGCAACUUUAUUAUAUACCAACAAACUUCUUUAGUUUUUUGUUAUUGUUGUUGUUUUCCAAUACCUAUUUGAUGCAACUUAAUCUGAUACCAUAAACAUUAGACCUGGCCUGAGAAUUCUCACCUGAUACAAACUCUUGAAAUUUAUGCAUGGUAAGGAAAGAACAAAAUUCAUCUUUUUUUAGUUAUUGUGAAAAUUUGCAUGAGAACUAUCCCCAUUGGCUCAAGUAUUUAAAAACUUUGUCCUAAGUUGGUGUUUUUCUUUAGGUAAAUUGUGGGAAUUUGGGAAGUGUAGACCUUAAGAGGGUAUUAUGUCACUAGGGGUGGAAUUUAAGAGUUUAGUAGCUUCAUAUAAUUUUCCUUCCCUGAGUUGGGAACUCUCAGCUUCUUUUUCUACCUGCCUGCUGCCAUGCCUCCUCUACAAUGGUUGACACUCCCUCUGGGACCCUAGACAACUUAAAAUAUUUCUUUCACAAUUUGUUUUUAGUCUUGGUGUUUGACACAGCAGCAGAAAGAAAACUAGAACACUUAUUAUAGAAAGUAAUGCAUUUUGUGUUGAAUCUCAUUUUCAUACAUGGUUACCACUGUAACUUUUCUCUUUUUCUCUGAUGCGACCUCCAACUACUCCACACAUAAAGAAGUUAGAGGAAUUAUUUUUUAUAACCUUCUUGUUACUCAAUGUCUUUCAAACCAACUGGACAAGACACUGACAUAAUUUUCCCUCUUGUCAACAGUGAGAAUAAUACUAAAAUUCAUCAUGUUAAACAUUUCAUGUGAAUUUAGUUUUUAAA